UAGGGAAUCUUCGGCAAUGGGGGGAACCCUGACCGAGCAACGCCGCGUGAGUGAAGAAGGUUUUCGGAUCGUAAAGCUCUGUUGUUAAGGAAGAACGAGUGUGAGAAUGGAAAGUUCAUACUGUGACGGUACUUAACCAGAAAGGGACGGCUAACUACGUGCCAGCAGCCGCGGUAAUACGUAGGUCCCGAGCGUUGUCCGGAUUUAUUGGGCGUAAAGCGAGCGCAGGCGGUUAGAUAAGUCUGAAGUUAAAGGCAGUGGCUCAACCAUUGUAGGCUUUGGAAACUGUUUAACUUGAGUGCAGAAGGGGAGAGUGGAAUUCCAUGUGUAGCGGUGAAAUGCGUAGAUAUAUGGAGGAACACCGGUGGCGAAAGCGGCUCUAUGGUCUGUAACGGACGCAGAGGCUCGAAAGCGUGGGGAGCGAACAGG
rnacentral:rRNA from 1 species